CAACCCUCAAGCAUUGCUUGGUAUUAGACUUCGCUACUCACAUAGCAGGCCUUAAAAUCAGUGGCAGUGCCAUCAGGCCCCUAAGCACAGUAAAUAUCCUCGCUACAGGGACUUGGUAGACACUGGCCAUCAACCCCCCACUCUCUCA
rnacentral:misc_RNA from 1 species